rnacentral:rRNA from 1 species
UACGUAGGGUGCAAGCGUUGUCCGGAAUUAUUGGGCGUAAAGAGCUCGUAGGCGGUUCGUCGCGUCGGCUGUGAAAACCCGAGGCUCAACCUCGGGCCUGCAGUCGAUACGGGCGGACUGGAGUUCGGCAGGGGAGACUGGAAUUCCUGGUGUAGCGGUGAAAUGCGCAGAUAUCAGGAGGAACACCGGUGGCGAAGGCGGGUCUCUGGGACGGUACUGACGCUGAGACGCGAAAGCGUGGGGAGCGAACAGG